UUACCCUGUGUCCAGCUGCGCUAUACAGAGGGGUGUGAUGCGUCGCCUCCCGUCGGCAGUCCUCGUCUCCACUUGCUUCUUCAGAAGGUUCUGAAACACGAACCAAUGACCUUCGGCUACCAGCUCAAACCAUCCCUUCAGGGACUCGCCGUUGACCACACUGGUGAGCUUGGGCGUGGCCUGCUCGGCGGCCACGUGGGCGGAGCUCUGGGCAGUGGCGGCAGCGGCGCUGCGUUCCUGCUGGUACUUCAACAUCUCUGGGUUCUCAAUGACGGUGUUGGAGAGCUGCUCCGUGCUGGUGAUGGCCAGGCUCUUACCAUAGAUGUUCUGGUGGAUGGUGUUCUGAUGGAGGAGAAGAGGGAGGGCGAGAGAGAGAGAGGGCGAGAGAGAGCAAGAGAAAGCGGAGUUAUGAAGUAGUUCUCUAAGAACUCUUCCAUCAGUUCCGAUGUCGCGACCACUGUCCACAACAAAAUGUGAAUAUUGAACUGAUCAACAACCAGCAAGUGAAUGCUACAUGCCCGACAACCUUCUCCUGUGUGCGGUCAGAGGUCAGCAGGUAGACUGACCUUCUCGUCCUCGUUGAGGGGGUCACCCAGCUCAUCCUGAGAGAAGUCCAGAUAGGCCACGGUACCAUCCAUAGAACACACCAGGAUCCCCAGCCCUACGGAGAGGGACCGGUCUUUGCUGCCCACGGCACAGCAGCAGUACGGACAGCUGCUGCUCUUCUGCUUCUUCUUAAAGAUCUUGGGAUUGAACUUCUACUGGGCACAGAGGCAGAGAGAAAAAUCUACUUGGUUUCCCCCUUGAAUUCUGUUCAGGCCUGGUGGAAUGCACCGGGAAAAAACCCUUAACGGACGAGGAACGCGGGAUGACAUAUUGGCACGGUUGCUUUGGUCAAGUUUGUUCACUUGGUAUCAAGACUUCUAACAAGUGAUCACAAGGAGAGAAUGACUUUAAUAAAGUUAAUCUAUUGCAUUCAAAUAAAUAAAUCUUUAAACUCA